UCUUUGGUAGCUCAAUGGCAGAGCAUCCGGCUGUUAACCGGAGGGUUGAAGGUUCGAGUCCUUCUCAAAGAG
rnacentral:tRNA from 1 species